AUUGAACGCUGGCGGCAUGCCUAACACAUGCAAGUCGAGCGGAUGAAGGGAGCUUGCUCCUGGACUCAGCGGCGGACGGGUGAGUAAUGCCUAGGAAUCUGCCUGGUAUUGGGGGAUAACGUCCGGAAACGGGCGCGAAUACCGCAUACGACCUGAUGGAGAAAGUGGGGGAUCUUCGGAGCUAACGGGAUCUGAUGAGCCUAGGUCGGAUUAGCUAGUUGGUUGGGUAAAGGCCUACCAAGGCGACGAUCCGUAACUGGUCUGAGAGGAUGAUCAGUCACACUGGAACUGAGACACGGUCCAGACUCCUACGGGAGGCAGCAGUAGGGAAUAUUGGACAAUGGGCGAAAGCCUGAUCCAGCAAUGCCGCGUGAGUGAUGAAGGUCUUCGGAUUGUAAAGCACUGUAAGUUGGGAGGAAGGGCAGUAAGUUAAUCCCUUGCUGUUUUGACGGUACCAACAGAAUAAGCACCGGCUAACUUCGUG
rnacentral:rRNA from 1 species